rnacentral:rRNA from 1 species
GAUUUCUGGCUUGGUGCGCGCCGUCCGCUGCGGUUACGUAGUGUGUGCGGUUGUGCGCCUGCCAUCCUGCUGGUUAGUAUUCUGGGCCCUUCACUGGGUUUCAGGUACUGAUCGGCUCUUUUACUUUGAAAAAAUUAGAGUGUUCAAAGCAGGCUUGCGCUAUGAAUACAUUAGCAUGGAAUAAUAAUUUAGGACUUUAUUCCUAUUUAUUGGUUUCUGGAGUAGAGUAAUGAUUGAUAGGGAUAGUUGGGGGUGCUAGUAUUCAUCGGCCAGAGGUGAAAUUCUUGGAUUCGAUGAAGACUAACUAAUGCGAAAGCAUU